GGACUACCGGGGUUUCUAAUCCUGUUUGCUCCCCACGCUUUCGCGCUUAAGCGUCAGUUACGGGCCAAAAGGCCGCCUUCGCAACCGGUAUUCCUCUCGAGAUCUACGCAUUUUACCGCUACUCCGAGAAUUCUACCUUUCUCUCCCGUACUCUAGUUCGCCAGUUUCACCCGCAUUUACUCGGUUAAGCCGAGCUCUUUUACAGUUGACUUAACAAACCGCCGACACGCUCUUUACGCCCAGUUAUUCCGAAUAACGCUCGCACCCUUCGUAUUACCGCGGCGGCUGGCAC
rnacentral:rRNA from 1 species